ACCUCUGCUGCCAAGAAGAUGGUAAACCCCGAGGCUCGCAGCAACCGAGUCGUCGGGCGAGGCAGAGAGGUAAUAACCAGUGGAGUCUGUCGGAAGCCUCGACCCCCAUAUGGGAUGUCCAGGAAAUGUUGGCCGUCCUGCCCCAGGAUUGGUAACCCACCACUGGGGAAACCAAAGUCACCAAAUAAAGACAUAGGGUGAAGAAGACGCAGCUGAGGAAGACUCCGCAGCCUUUUAUCACCGACCACCAGGAGACAGAAGGAUGACCCUCUAGCAACAACCAGCACAGGCGCAGAGAACUCCGAGAUAACAUGGACUCCUGAAGGAUGGAGAGGAUAAAAGGACUGAAUCAGAAACUAGUUGGUGCGGCAGUAGGUGGAGCUGAGACUCCCCUGUCGCCCAGCGCUGAGCCUUUGCUUACGUAGUAUAACUGCUUCAAUAAUUAAUAAAUUCUUUGAUUGGAAA